rnacentral:antisense_RNA from 1 species
CUUGAGCGAGCCCAGCCACAGUGGCUGCUCGCGAUCCCGGCCGUACGUGGUGAGCAGGGCGUGCGCCUC